UGAAUGGGAAAAUAUCCUUGGCAUCCAUGCAAUUCAAGGAUGUUGUAAUUGGUAAGUUGUGAUGUUAAAAGUAUCUGUACCAAGUUGAUACUAAAAUUUUAAAAAGAAUGAUACGAUAAGUUUUUUUUUCAGUAUCGGCUGUACCAAGUAUUCUUCUGCUUUCUGAUUGACUUUCUUUUGUAGGUAUUAAUUAACCGUGAUUUCCACUCAGCCAUCUUACUGGAAUUUGUGUAGGUUAGGAAUAAGACUGAGGAUGGAGUUGUACAGUUUUGUAGUGUGUAUCGUUUGUAAAUAUUGUUAACUUCUUUACCAUAGCCAUGCUGAGGGAGGUGUUGACUAAAUUAGAGAUGGUGCUGGACCAACAAACCACUGAGAUUGCUUCAACUACAGGUGUUCCAAGUGCAGUCUUUGGAUAUUGAUGAAGAUUUACUGCCCUGCAAGAUCUUCCUCAACUGCGUAGUCUGGAGCGAAGGAUGCAACAGAGCCCAGAUUGCAAGCAAAAUCUGGGCGGAUGUGCUCGACUGCACCUGGCGCAUACUGAAGAGGGUGAUUGCUAACUCCCUGGCAAAGAACCUCAAUUGGAGGGGAGUCGAUGGAAAGACUUCACUGGCCACUCUCAAACUUGGAGAGGUCAUGAUUGAAACCUCUUCACGGCUAAAGCUGCAGAGAUGGAGGUUGAGGGGACCAUGAAGAGGUGGCUCCAGCUGGCAUCAGAUCGAGAGUGCGGGUGCAAGAGAAGACUUUUGAAAACUUUUGCAAAAAGAAGCCCUUUCCAGUAGAGGUUAUAUGAUGUUCCGAUCCAUCUUUUCACACUGAGGACAACCGAGGGACUCGUACACGACUAUUCCAAAAGGUGCAAACAUUCACUGAUGCUCAAGAAGGUAACAGCAUGCAUUAAGAGCCUGGCUGUAAACGUUGUAAACAGGAUGAUCAUGUAAAUUUUUU
ensembl:lncRNA